CCGCCCGAGGGCUCUGGGAGAGGUGUGAGCCCGACCCUCCUGCCUACCCACCCGGUUAACCCUAUCAGCGAAGACGGCCUGCCGAGGACCAGGGGAGAAGAAAGGAGCCUUCUGCAUGUUUUAAGUGGGUAUGCCCCCACCUAUUUCAAAAAGGAUAAAAAGCUAAAAGGGCAGAUCAAAUAAUAGAGGGCAUGCCUCAGGUUUGAGAAGCAAAAUCAGAACAAGCUUGAAAGAGUAAGAUGAAACAAAGAGUUAAUAUCAUUUAUCCAUUAUCCAGACUAAAAACUUGUGCUCCGAAAAUGAAAUUUUUUCCCCCUCCCGUUUGCCAAAAUAAUAUUUCAGCCUCUGGCUUUAAAUAUUUCCUCUCUUGGAAAUCUCCAAACACCAUCCUCUAACUUAACAGGCGACUUUCUGGAGUCCUUCUUCCGAAAGAAAGGUAAUUUGAGGGGGCUCUGAAGAACGCCCUCCCUCCCAACAUCAACGCCCUAAGGAUAGUUUGAAAUCCCAAACACGGAGGUUCCUGUGGAGUUAAGCGUGGAAACGUUAAAACAAUACAUGUUGAUUUAUUAAUACCUUUAAGUGAACUGGUUUAGGUGGGCAAUUAGACACUUGGUUACAAAAGACAGUAGCUGCUGGUGACCAAGAGUGGAGCCACCUCUGGAACCAGAUUGCUGUAUUUGCUGCAGUUCCCUGGGUUACCAUCCCCAACCAAACUCCACAGAAGCUCAGACAAGAAACUAAGCUGGGGAGAGCAGCUUCCUGGAACCCAGAGGCAGGCAUUUGGGAGAGUGAGAAGCCUUAUCAGAUUGCUGAGGGGUGGCUGGGUUUCAGGCUGAUUCAUAAGGCGGCUUCUUCUCCUACAAGUUUUUCUCCCAGUGAAAAGAUAACGAUCUUCUAGGGUUAUGGCAGAGCUUUUCAGAGCCAAUAAAAGGCCAACUGGAAUUUGGAACUUCAUGGACUCAUAGCUAAGGGGAUAUUAGGUAAUUGAGAGGAAGAAGAAGAAUAAAACAAUGCCACAUCCUCCACAAACUUUUCCCAAAUUCCCAUCUUCUUUAUCAUUCCAAUAACUUUUUUCUACAACAUUUUAAUCAUAAAAAUUUUCAAACUUAAUGUUGAAAGAUUUUACAGUAAACACUGAUAUAGCCACCACCUAGAUUCUGCUGUUAAUAUUGUAUUAUACUUGCUUUAUCACAUCUAUACAUUGUACCUUUUGUUUCCCUUUCUUAAAGUGACUUACUACAAACUGGUUUACACAUUUCUUGCUUCGUCUGUCUGUCUGUUUUCUAUCCCUAGCACCUAAAACAGUUUCUGACACAUAGCCUUAGGGAGUAAAGAGACACCAUAUCUCAUUUCUACAUUCUUAAGGCCCACAGAACAGAAUAACUGGAGGUAGGAGGCACUCACACAAUACAUGUUUGUUGAAUAUUAGAUGAAUGAAUGAACAAAUAUGAAAGAGGU